rnacentral:rRNA from 1 species
CUAAAUACUACCCAGUGACCGAUAGCGAAUAGUACCGUGAGGGAAAGGUGAAAAGGACCCCGGGAGGGGAGUGAAAUAGAACCUGAAACCUUAUGCUUACAAGCAGAGGGAGCGCAAGUGACCUCGUACUUUUUGUAGAACGGGCCAACGAGUUAUGGUAUGCAGCGAGGUUAAGGUGCUGGAGCACUGGAGCCGUAGAGAAAUCGAGUCUGAAAGGGCGAAAGUUGCAUGCUGUAGACCCGAAACCGGGUGAUCUAUCCAUGUCCAGGUUGAAGUAACUGUAAUAGGUUAUGGAGGACCGAACUUAUAUCUGUUGAAAAAGGUUAGGAUGAGGUGUGGAUAGGGGUGAAAUUCCAAUCGAACUCGGAUAUAGCUGGUUCUCCUCGAAAUAGCUUUAGGGCUAGCCUCGUAGUAAGAUACCUGGGGGUAGAGCACUGAAUGUUCUAGGGGCCUUCACCGGUUACCGAAAACUAUCAAACUCCGAAUACCAGAGUAUCAUCUACGGGAGUCAGACUAUGUGAGAUAAGUUUCAUAGUCGAAAGGGAAACAGCCCAGACCGUCAGCUAAGGUCCCAAAAUAUAGGUUAAGUGGAAAAGGAUGUGGGGUUGCACAGACAGCUAGGAUGUUGGCUUAGAAGCAGCCAUUCAUUCAAAGAGUGCGUAAUAGCUCACUAGUCGAGUGACCCUGCGCCGAAGAUAAACGGGGCUAAAACCUAUUACCGAAGCUACGGAUACUUAAUGUAUGGUAGAGGAGCGUCGUAUACGGGUUGAAGCAGUACUGUAAGGUAUUGUGGACUUUAUACGAGAGAGAAUGUUGGCAUGAGUAGCGCGAGGCAGGUGAGAAUCCUGCCCACCGAAAAUCUAAGGUUUCCUGAGGAAGGUUCGUCCACUCAGGGUUAGUCGGGGCCUAAGCCGAGGGCGAAAGCCAUAGGCGAUGGAUAACAGGUAGAAAUUCCUGUACCACCGAAGGUUGUUUGAAUGAUGUGGGGACACAGGAGGAUAAGCUGAGCACGCCGUUGGUAGAGCGUGUCCAAGCGUCAAGGGAGUAUGAAUAGGCAAAUCCGUUCAUAUAUAUUCUGAGGCGUGAUGGGGUGGUCAAUAGACCGGAAGCAGCUGAUUUCACACUGUCAAGAAAAGCCGCUAAUUAGACCUAAGGUGCCCGUACCGCAAACCGACACAGGUAGAUGAGGAGAGAAUCCUAAGGUGAGCGAGAGAACUAUUGUUAAGGAACUCGGCAAAAUAACCCCGUAACUUCGGGAGAAGGGGUGCCUGCUUCGGCAGGCCGCAGUGAAAAGGCCCAGGCAACUGUUUACCAAAAACACAGGUCUCUGCAAAAGCGAAAGCUGAAGUAUAGGGGCUGACGCCUGCCCGGUGCUGGAAGGUUAAGGGGACGUGUCAUCGCAAGAGAAGCACUGAACUUAAGCCCCAGUAAACGGCGGCCGUAACUAUAACGGUCCUAAGGUAGCGAAAUUCCUUGUCGGGUAAGUUCCGACCCGCACGAAAGGCGUAAUGAUUUG